UCCCUUUCAAUUCAUCCCAAAGCGCACUACAAAGGUCUUGUCCUUCGGGACUAUGGUCAUAAACGCGCUCGUAAUACACGGAUCGGACCCGGGGGCGGUACCCGGCAGCUCCACCAUAACCUCCCUCAUUUGGGGACAGAUGGGGCUGAAAUAGGAUCGACGGACGUCUAAAGGGGUAAGCUUUGGCUCGGUGAGAUACCACCGUUAUCGGUUCAAUAUAGCUAGUUGCAAAUGACAACAAAGCUCCAAUGGCU
rnacentral:tmRNA from 1 species